rnacentral:rRNA from 1 species
GACGAACCGAGCGAACGUUGUUCGGAAUCACUGGGCUUAAAGGGCGCGUAGGCGGGCUGCCAAGUUUGGGGUGAAAUCCUCCGGCUCAACCGGGGAAGGGCCUUGAAUACUGGCGGUCUGGAGGGGGGUAGGGGCGUGCGGAACUAACGGUGGAGCGGUGAAAUGCGUUGAUAUCGUUAGGAACUCCGGUGGCGAAGGCGGCACGCUGGACCCUCACUGACGCUGAGGCGCGAAAGCUAGGGGAGCAAACAGG